rnacentral:misc_RNA from 1 species
UGGUUCUGGCAUNGAUGAAGAACGCAGCGAAAUGCGAUAAGUAAUGUGAAUUGCAGAAUUCAGUGAAUCAUCGAAUCUUUGAACGCACAUUGCGCCCUCUGGUAUUCCGGGGGGCAUGCCUGUUCGAGCGUCAUUACAACUUUCAAGCCUUGCUUGGUAUUGGGUGUCACCUGUGUGUACCUUAAAAUCAGUGGUACUGCCGUGCUGCUUCAAGCGUAGUAAAACAUUCGCUCUGGAGUUAGCUAUGAACAAGACCAACAAUUAAAACUAUAUUACCUAAAGUUGACCUCGGAUCAGGUAGGGAUACCCGCUGA